CGCGCUGAGGGGCGCUGCAGCAGGUCAGGAUUUUCCCGCCUGCCAGGCUCGGUGCGCACACUGCCAUCUACGGCAACGGCGCCCAUUCAUC
rnacentral:ncRNA from 1 species